ensembl:snRNA U6 U6 spliceosomal RNA
GUGCUUGAUUUGACAGCACACAUACUAUAAUUGAAAUGAUACAGAGCAGACUAUAGUGGCCUCUGUACAAGGAUGACACAUGGAUUUGUGUAGUUUUCCAUAUUAAU